AUGUCAGCUCUGCCUCAGGAAUCGACUGAGACUUUCACCAAGACUUUGGUUCCAUUCCUGGACACGGAUACAGCUGGAGAGCUGCCCCCGUGGCCAGAGCAGUUCGUUGCUGCACACCAGGAUCUGAAUGACAAGCUGACUCGGCAAGAAAGGCUCCCAGAGGUGGUCCCAAUGCUGAAGAAAGGUCUAGCUUAGCAUCGGAGGCUUGCUAAGGUUGUGGCUGGAACUCCACACCGAUUUGUAUAAAAACCUCAGCGUCAGAAACAAACUUUGCAGGAUAUUUAGAUGGAAGUAUGGAUAUACUGUAUCCAGGCACCCUGUCCCCAGAACUCCAGGUGAACUCAGACGAGCCUCCAGGGCCCCCUGAGCAAGUUGGACUUUUUCAAUUUCACCUAGAGCCCGAAACUCAAAAUCCAGAGACCUUGAAGAGAUCCAGUCCUCUUCACUCCAGCAAGAAGCCCCAGAGCAGCUUCCACAGCUCCCUGGGGAGGUAGAACCUUCUUCAACCCAGCAGGAGGCCCCAGCUCUGCCUUCACAGUCCCUUGAGAGGGUCUAUUUCCACCGAAUCAUGAGGUGACACUUCACCCUCUUGGUGAGGAUCAAGCUCAUUAUAACUUGCCCACUGUUACAGUUAAACCUGUGGAUGCAGAGCUUAUUAUAACCUCAGAGCCUACCAAGGAGACUGAAUCUUCUCCAGCCCAGCAGCAGGCCCCAACCCAGUCUCCAGAGGAGGUAGAACCUUCUGCAACCCAAAAGGAGGCCCCAGCUGAGCCUCCAGGUCCUCCUGUGGAGCCUGAACCUUCUCCAGAGAGCAGGAGCAGCCAGCUCAGCCUUCUGAGUCUUCUGGAGAGGUUGAACCUUCUCCCGCCCAGGAGGAGAUCCCAGCUCAGCCUCCAAACAUCAUGAAUUAACAGUUUUACCUCAAGCUCAGCAUUCAGAUUUGCCCAGUGUCACUGUUAAGUCUCCAGAUAUGCAGCUCACCAUAGCAACGUAGCCUACUGAAGAGGUGGAAACUUCUCUAAUCCACCAGGAGGCUACAGCUCAGCUCUCAGGGCCAAUUAAUGAUGCAGAACCUUCCGCCACCCAGCAUGGGGGCCCAUCUCUGCCUCCAGAGUCAUCAGAAGAGGCUGGACCUUUACCAGUUAAACGGUAGACUUCAAUCUCCAGAAACUAUUAAGGAUGAGAAACCCUUUCCAACCCAGCAGGAGGCUGCAGCUGAGCAUCCACAGAUCCCUGAGGAGGUUGAGUCUUCUCCAACCCAUCAAGAAGCCCCAUCCCAGCCUUCAGAGCCCCCUAAUGAAGUUGUAGCUCAAUGUCCAGAGCAUCAUGAGGUGAUAGUUUCACAGUUAAAAAUGUGGAUAUGGAGCUUACCAUACCUAUAGCAGUCACUAUCGAGGUUGAACCUUCUCCAUUCCAGCAGGACAACCCUCCAAUUCCCACUGAGCAGGCUGACUUUUCUCUAACCCAGCCUUAUACCCCUUCCCCACCUCUGGAUUCUCUUGAACGGAUUGAAUCUCCAGCCCAGCAAGAGGCCACAGCUCAGACUCCAGAUCCCCCUAAGGAAGUAGAACCUUCUCCAGUCCUGCAAGAGUUCCCAGCUGAGCCACCAGAGCCCCCUAAGGAGGUUGAACCAUCUACAAGCCAGCAGGAAGCCUCAGGUGGUCCUCCAAAGUCCACUGAAGAGGUCAGUCCUCUACUGCAAUGGGAGAUACCAGCUCAGCCAUCAGAGCCACCUGAGAAGGUUGAACCAUCUCCAGUCCUACAGAAGGCCCCAACUCAGGUUUUAGAGACACAUUCAAAG
rnacentral:lncRNA from 1 species